GCCUUGGUGGUGAAAUGGUAGACACAAUUGAUUCAAAAUCAAUCGCUUUUUAAGUAUAGAGGUUCGAAUCCUCUUCAAGGCAC
rnacentral:tRNA from 1 species